rnacentral:rRNA from 1 species
GGCGCACGGGUGCGUAACGCGUAUGCAACCUACCUUGUACAGGGGGAUAGCCCGGAGAAAUUCGGAUUAAUACCCCAUAGUAUUAUCAGAUGGCAUCUGAAGAUAAUUAAAGAUUUAUCGGUACAAGAUGGGCAUGCGUGACAUUAGUUAGUUGGUAAGGUAAAGGCUUACCAAGACGAUGAUGUCUAGGGGUUCUGAGAGGAUGAUCCCCCACACUGGUACUGAGAUACGGACCAGACUCCUACGGGAGGCAGCAGUAGGGAAUAUUGGUCAAUGGGCGAGAGCCUGAACCAGCCAUGCCGCGUGCAGGAAGACGGCCUUCUGGGUUGUAAACUGCUUUUCUACGGGAAGAAAAUGCCCUUGCGAGGGAAAUUGCCGGUACCGUAGGAAUAAGCACCGGCUAACUCCGUGCCAGCAGCCGCGGUAAUACGGAGGGUGCAAGCGUUGUCCGGAUUUAUUGGGUUUAAAGGGUGCGUAGGCGGAUCUUUAAGUCAGUGGUGAAAGCCUGCAGCUUAACUGUAGAACUGCCAUUGAUACUGGAGGUCUUGAGUACACUAGAGGUAGGCGGAAUUUAUGGUGUAGCGGUGAAAUGCAUAGAUACCAUAAAGAACACCUAUAGCGUAGGCAGCUUACUGGAGUGUAACU